rnacentral:rRNA from 1 species
UACGUAGGUGGCGAGCGUUGUCCGGAUUUACUGGGCGUAAAGGGAGCGUAGGCGGACUUUUAAGUGAGAUGUGAAAUACUCGGGCUCAACUUGAGUGCUGCAUUUCAAACUGGAAGUCUAGAGUGCAGGAGAGGAGAAUGGAAUUCCAUGUGUAGCGGUGAAAUGCAUAGAUAUCACGCAGAACUCCGAUUGCGAAGGCAGCGUACCGGCAUCCAACUGACGCUGAGGCACGAAAGCGUGGGGAUCAAACAGG